rnacentral:rRNA from 1 species
CUACGGGAGCUCCAGUGGGGAAUAUUGGACAAUGGGGGAAACCCUGAUCCAGCAAUGCCGCGUGUGUGAAGAAGGCCUGCGGGUUGUAAAGCACUUUCGGUUGGGAGGACUGCUUCUAGCACUAAUAUUGUUGGAAGUUGACGUUACCUUCAGAAGAAGCACCGGCUAACUCCGUGCCAGCAGCCGCGGUAAUACGGAGGGUGCAAGCGGUAAUCGGAAUUACUGGGCGUAAAGCGCGCGUAGGCGGCUAGAUCAGUCGGGUGUGAAAGCCCCGGGCUUAACCUGGGAACUGCAUCCGAUACUGUCUAGCUUGAGUACAGGAGAGGAGAGUGGAAUUCCACACGUAGCGGUGACAUGCGUAGAUAUGUGGAGGAACACCAAUGGCGAAGGCAGCUCUCUGGCCUGAUACUGACGCUGAGGUGCGAAAGCGUGGGGAGCAAACAGGAUUAGAUACCCCUGUAGUC